UGCCGCUCAGAAAAUGGUCCCAUCCCGGAAGUAAGAAAAAUUGCAGUUCCACCCUCAUCCGCUGGGGGCUGGUGCCAGAAGCGAGCAAAUCCUCAUUGACUCCCAUGUUAAAAAUGCCGAUUUCACAGCAGAAAUAAACAUGUUUACAGCCUGGUGCCAAAACAUGUUUUUUGUCUAAAUUAUCUAGUUUAUACUCAUGACAACUCUGAGGGGGGUGAAUUUUUUUCUCACUCUUCUGUUUAAGUGUAUUGAAAGCCUAAAAUUCUGUAUAAUUAAUGAGCAUCCGACACACGUGACCGCCGCCUCAGACCCACGUGACCACAGAGCUAGCUCCGUGGAAAGGCCUCAGUACAGCCUCGGUCUGGCUUGGAAACUGCUCCGGCAUUUUGAGUCUCUGUGUUUGUGUAUUCUUCUUUGGAUAUUAUUGGUGCAAUUGUUGGACAAAAUGACUUGCAGUGGUAUUAAUUGCACUAAUAGAGCGUCCAAGGAGUCUCCACUUCAUUUUUUUCGGGAAGGACCUGAUUGGUGUCCAGAACCUGCUGAAGAAGCACCAGGCUCUGCAGGCUGAGAUCACAGGUCAUGAACCUCGCAUCAAGGCUGUCACCCAGAAAGGAGAGACCAUGGUGGAAGAAGGUCACUUCGCUGGUGAGGAAGUGAAGACUAAACUGUGGGAGCUUCAUGGACGUUGGGACAUGCUGAAGGCCAAGGCGUCCCAGAGGAGGCAGGACCUGGAGGACUCUCUGCAGGCCAAACAGUACUUUGCGGAUGCUAAUGAGGCCGAGUCCUGGAUGAGGGAGAAGGAGCCCAUCGUUGGAAGUCCAGACUAAGGGAAAGACGAGGACUUGGCCGAGGCUCUCCUGAAGAAGCACGAGGCCCUGAUGUCGGACCUGUCGGCUUACGGCAGCAGCAUCCAGGCCCUGAAGGAGCAGGCCCAGUCCUGCAGGCAACAAGGUGAUCAGCAGGUGCUUUUGUCCUGCAGGACCUGAAGGCCAAUGAGUCCCGCCUGAGGGACAUCAACAAGGUGGCAUCUGAACUGGAGUCAGAAGGUCUGAUGGCUGAGGAGGCUCCUAUGGUUCAGGCUCAGCAACAAGAACAUCUGGGUUCUGCUCCUGGAAAGGUGCGUGUUGUCCUCCGCCUCCACCAGAACCAGACGUGGUGUUUAUGUUACCACUCAUUUGUUUGUUUACAGGAUGAAGCCGACUCUAACACGGCGUCACCCUGGAAGGUGAGUUCAUUCAGCUGAUCAGAGGUCACCUCUGAUGGCAGCAGUCACGGCCGACCGUGCUGACAUCACACAGGAAUUCAGGUGACCCGGCAGGCACCAGGUUUUGGUGAAAGUGGGGACAUGUCAGCUGGUUGCCAUGGCUAGUUAUCUUUAUGCAUCUGUAUGACUGCUGACUGGUGUGUGUUUCCUGUGACCUUUGACCUCAGACCGUACGGUUGGGCGUUCAGACGACGGCUAACUUUAAUUCCAUCAAGGUAAGAGGAAGCUCUUCCCUUCCUGUCUGAGCGAUCCGUCUCCAGGUUUCUUCGUCCGGCGUCCAGCCCGCUGGUGUCCACCUUCAUCUCACCCUCAUCUCACUUCAUUUAUAGUGCAAUACUUUCACAUUAUCAUUUUCCCACACUUCUGUAUACCUGUAUUUUGUUGUUUUUCAAUAAAGAAUGACAAAUUAUUUAAGUUUGGUUUUUGUUGCACACAAAUAUAUAUCUGUAAAAAAUAUCUACAAAGCUAAUGUUUACAUAACAAGUAUGAUCGGGUUUUGCAAUACGGCACUCAAGUUUAUUUUAGUAAGAUUUUCAAACCAAGUAAAGUUAGUAAAGAACACAUUUCUAUUGUCUGCUAAGAAACUGUUGGGAUUUAAAAUGGGCCUGUUGUACAAAUAACUUGUAAAUGAUUAUUCCUCACUUUUGUCUUAACCAAAGAAAUUCAAGUAAUUGAGCAAAAACAUUUAUUUUUAACACUACAGUUUAUAAAACAGGGCGCAAAGUGUCGGCACAUGUAUGUAUGUCGAUGGUCCGCCCCAACCAAACCAAGAGACACAGACGUCAGGGAGGCCAAGGUUGUCUCUGCAGCUCUCUGGGCACCACGCCUCACUCAGCUGUCUCCAAUGAUCCAAAUGGCUAUGGAGGAAAAAAUAACAGGUUUGGCCUAGCUGUUUAAAGUACAAAACCAUUCAUGAAGUGGUCAAGACAAGUACUUGGAACUUACACGCUGCGUUGUGUAGCUGACGUUGGAGACACACAGGCUGCCAUGGUGACCUUUUAAUAGAUCUAAGAAAAAAAUGUAAUAAAAGAAUGAACUUAAAAACUCCCAGACCUCAUGUCAUAUUUACUCAUCAGCUAUGGCUGAUUUGUUUGGAUCACAGUGAGUUACACUAAUUCUAAUAUAUUUUUAUUUCUAUUAUACAUACAUACUUUUUAACUGUUAUUUUCACAUGACUGUUAUCAGGCUCUCUUGUUCUGGUUCUGAUGAUAACUCUGUGUCUUCCAGUAAGUUAUCUUGUGCUUACUUCAUCUGUAUAAUGUCUCUUUACUUUUGGUAAAUUGUACUGAGUCCAGAAUAAAGGCUAGUUGGCUGUACAAGAUACAAACAAGUAUUACGUUUUGGAAAUAUAUGAAACACCGCCAGCAUCUGUUAGAGCCUGUGGCGGGGUGCUGAGGGCCGGCUCCAGCCCAGGAAUGAGCUCUACACGCCGGCCGGGAGGGUUUGAAACACCGCCAUCCUCUCCUCUGCUGGCUGUAAAUUCUGUUAUGGUUACCGGUGCUUGUGUUGCAAUGUGAAACGCUUGGUCUCAGAUUUUGUAAGAAAGAUAAUAAAAUGUCCCCCCAAAAUACGA